CCUCACCUGAACGGAGCUAUGCGGCGCAGCCGUCAAGUUUUGAUUUCCUCGUGUUUACAUCAUGUUUGAAUGUAAACAAUUGUUUUCAGUGAAAAAUACAACUGUACUCGUAAUUAAGAUUAGCUACAGAAUGUGUUACGCAGGAUGGAGCCUGGAGCAAACAAAAGAAUGUUCAACAUCGAUAAAUGUGUGGACCUGGCACCUUGUGGUUUGAUCUAUAAUGGAGGACAGAUUACAAAAACCAUCCGAUUUGAAACAUUCAGCUAUAGAGUUCUGUAUGGAGUUGGUGAGCAUCCAUGCAUAAAAUGAUACUCCCACGAUCGAUCCAUCUGGUGUAUCUUAUGGCUGUACCAUUGGGAAGGCACGAGCACGUUCUACAAGAUAUAAAACCAAAAAUGGAAGCUAAAGGGAACAAAGUAAUAGCGGAAGACUGAGACAGCGACACGAAGGACACGUAAAUCGACAAUAGUUUUCAAUACACAUUUUGUAAUUUGUAAGUUAUAUAUAGUUUAUGUAUGAGUACAAUUUUAUAUGCUAAAAAA